UGUGAGCUCGAUGAGUAGGGCGGGACACGUGGUAUCCUGUCUGAAUAUGGGGGGACCAUCCUCCAAGGCUAAAUACUCCUGACUGACCGAUAGUGAACCAGUACCGUGAGGGAAAGGCGAAAAGAACCCCGGCGAGGGGAGUGAAAAAGAACCUGAAACCGUGUACGUACAAGCAGUGGGAGCACGCUUAGGCGUGUGACUGCGUACCUUUUGUAUAAUGGGUCAGCGACUUAUAUUCUGUAGCAAGGUUAACCGAAUAGGGGAGCCGAAGGGAAACCGAGUCUUAACUGGGCGUUAAGUUGCAGGGUAUAGACCCGAAACCCGGUGAUCUAGCCAUGGGCAGGUUGAAGGUUGGGUAACACUAACUGGAGGACCGAACCGACUAAUGUUGAAAAAUUAGCGGAUGACUUGUGGCUGGGGGUGAAAGGCCAAUCAAACCGGGAGAUAGCUGGUUCUCCCCGAAAGCUAUUUAGGUAGCGCCUCGUGAAUUCAUCUCCGGGGGUAGAGCACUGUUUCGGCAAGGGGGUCAUCCCGACUUACCAACCCGAUGCAAACUGCGAAUACCGGAGAAUGUUAUCACGGGAGACACACGGCGGGUGCUAACGUCCGUCGUGAAGAGGGAAACAACCCAGACCGCCAGCUAAGGUCCCAAAGUCAUGGUUAAGUGGGAAACGAUGUGGGAAGGCCCAGACAGCCAGGAUGUUGGCUUAGAAGCAGCCAUCAUUUAAAGAAAGCGUAAUAGCUCACUGGUCGAGUCGGCCUGCGCGGAAGAUGUAACGGGGCUAAACCAUGCACCGAAGCUGCGGCAGCGACGCUUAUGCGUUGUUGGGUAGGGGAGCGUUCUGUAAGCCUGCGAAGGUGUGCUGUGAGGCAUGCUGGAGGUAUCAGAAGUGCGAAUGCUGACAUAAGUAACGAUAAAGCGGGUGAAAAGCCCGCUCGCCGGAAGACCAAGGGUUCCUGUCCAACGUUAAUCGGGGCAGGGUGAGUCGACCCCUAAGGCGAGGCCGAAAGGCGUAGUCGAUGGGAAACAGGUUAAUAUUCCUGUACUUGGUGUUACUGCGAAGGGGGGACGGAGAAGGCUAUGUUGGCCGGGCGACGGUUGUCCCGGUUUAAGCGUGUAGGCUGGUUUUCCAGGCAAAUCCGGAAAACUAAGGCUGAGGCGUGAUGACGAGGCACUACGGUGCUGAAGCAACAAAUGCCCUGCUUCCAGGAAAAGCCUCUAAGCAUCAGGUAACAUCAAAUCGUACCCCAAACCGACACAGGUGGUCAGGUAGAGAAUACCAAGGCGCUUGAGAGAACUCGGGUGAAGGAACUAGGCAAAAUGGUGCCGUAACUUCGGGAGAAGGCACGCUGAUAUGUAGGUGAAGUCCCUCGCGGAUGGAGCUGAAAUCAGUCGAAGAUACCAGCUGGCUGCAACUGUUUAUUAAAAACACAGCACUGUGCAAACACGAAAGUGGACGUAUACGGUGUGACGCCUGCCCGGUGCCGGAAGGUUAAUUGAUGGGGUUAGCGCAAGCGAAGCUCUUGAUCGAAGCCCCGGUAAACGGCGGCCGUAACUAUAACGGUCCUAAGGUAGCGAAAUUCCUUGUCGGGUAAGUUCCGACCUGCACGAAUGGCGUAAUGAUGGCCAGGCUGUCUCCACCCGAGACUCAGUGAAAUUGAACUCGCUGUGAAGAUGCAGUGUACCCGCGGCAAGACGGAAAGACCCCGUGAACCUUUACUAUAGCUUGACACUGAACAUUGAGCCUUGAUGUGUAGGAUAGGUGGGAGGCUU
rnacentral:rRNA from 1 species